rnacentral:lncRNA from 1 species
AUAGCUAGCAAUGGACAUGAUCAAAUUGUAAUGUAAUGUCUUAAUCAGUAUAGAUAUGUAAUGAGAUGAUGUUUAUGGAUGUUAGAGGGGUGCUUGACCAUAGACUGUUGUUAUCCCUUUUAAUACAUGAUCUUAGAGAUUUUUAUGAUGUUUAUGUAAACCAACUCAACAUAUGUUAUGUCACCCAUUUGGGGGCACUGAUGAGAUCCCACAGAGGGAUCAAUGUUAUGUUAAUGUAUAUGCACAGGUUGAGUUUGGUUGAUGUA